AUGCUUCGGGGAGGCGCAUGGAGCCUUUGAUCCGAAGAUUGCCGAAUGGGACUUCCCAAACUCUAGUAGUUUAAUCCGAAAGGAUGGGGAACGCUCCGAAUUGAAACAUCUUAGUAGGAGCAGGAAAAGAAAUCAAAUGAGAUGAGGUUAGUAAAGGCGAUCGAACACCUCAUAGAGCAAUCCGAAUCUUCUGAUGAAAAUCAGUAGAAAUGUGGAGUGGCCUGUUUACAUCUUAACACUAUUAUCCGAAUUUCGUGUGGAACACCGGCGCCAAAGAGGGUGAUAGCCCCGUAGGAGACGCAGUGAAAGAUGAUUUUCAGGACCCAAGAGUAGCGUGCAUUGGAUAUUGCGCGUGAAUGUGGGAGGUACUAACUUCCAACUCUAAAUACAAACCGAGACCGACAGCGCAAUAGUAGCGUGAGCGAAAGUUGUAAAGUAUCCCUGACGGGAGAUUAAUAAGAUCCUGAAAUCAGGUGGUAACAGACUGGUAUGGCAUGCAAGGGAUUAAGCGGUUACACCGCCGCACCGAUGUCAUACCGUUCGAUUCGAAAAUUGAUCCGUGGAGUUUCUAUCAUUGGCGAGGUUAAGUACGUAGGUACGAAGCCGUAGGGAAACCGAUAGCCCGCAGCGCAAGCGAGGGGCAAGGUGUGCUCGCCUGGAGUCAAUGGUUGGAUACCCGAAGCCGGUCGAUCUAUGCCUGGGCAGGGUGAAGCCUUUCGGAAGAAGGGUGGAGGCCCGAACCAGUACUGAUGUGCAAAUCGUUUGGAUGACCUGGGUAUAGGGGCGAAAGACCAAUCUAGACCGGCAAUUGCUGGUUCCUCUCGAAACUGCUCGCAGGCAGACCUCAGCAGAGACGGGGCAUGCGGUAGAGCACUGAUUGCGUGUUUAGGAAGCGAAAGUUUUCGGCAUGCUGUCAAACUCCGAAUGUGUGUCCGUUGUAGAAGCUGGGCAGUGAGGGCAUCGGGGUAAGCUUGAUGUCCAUAAGGAAAACAAACCAGACCAAAGUUAAGGUCCCUAAGUAAUAGCUAAGUGUUAAAGAACAAAUAGUGUUUAACAGCAUAGACAGCUGGAAGGUUGGCUUAGAGGCAGCCAUCCUUUAAAGAGUUCGUAACAGAUCACCAGUCAAGUUCUUGAGCCUAGAAAAUGGACGGGACUAAGUUGUUCACCGAUACUUUGGGCCACCGAAAGGUGAUGCGGUAGAGAGGCGUCGUGCGCGGGUGGAAGUGGGGCCGAGAGGUCCUGUGGACCGCGUUCGAAUGAUAAUCAUGGAAAGAGUAGUAGCGUAGAUGGGUGAGAAUCCCAUCCGCCGGAGGGGCUAGGGUUCCUCGACGAUGUUCAUCAGUCGAGGGUUAGUCGGUCCUAAGGUUCCCCCUAACAGGAGGAAUCGAAAGGGAAGCAGGUUAAAAUUCCUGCACCAAUUCAUAUUUUGUCCAGUUCCUGACACAUCGGGUCUUGUGGAGCACUCUUGUCGGAGUGUUGCCUUAAACAAUAAAUUUGUGGAGUACCGUAAUGGUGAGAAGCAAACUAAGUUUUUGGGAGGCGGAGUAUUUCGCUUCUGCGUUAGCCUGGUGUCCGUGAAAAGGGAGCUGGAGCCGUAUGAGUUGUCCGUACCGAGAUCUGACACAGGUGCCCCUAGGUGAGUAGCCUAAGGCGUCGCGGCAGAAUCCGGGCGAGGGAAUUCGGCAAAUUAGCCCCGUACCUUUGGUAUAAGGGGUGCCAGCUCUGAAGAGAGCUGGUCGCAGUGACUAGGGAGCUCCGACUGUUUAUUAAAAACACAGGUGGCUGCUAGUCCGUAAGGAUGUGUAUAGCCGCUGAAUCCUGCCCAGUGGCAGUAUCUGAAACCAGGUUUCAACCUGACGAAGGACUGCUAAACGGCGGGGGUAACUAUGACCCUCUUAAGGUAGCGUAAUACCUUGUCGCUUAAUUGGCGACUUGCACGAACGGCCUAACGAGAGCUCUACUGUCCCCGCCCGGAGCCCGAUGAAAUUGACUUACUGGCGCACAGUCCAGUACGUCCCAGCCGCAAGCGAAGACCCCGUGGAGCUUUACUGCAACCUGCCGUUGUGGCACGAGUUGUUAUGUGUAGCGUAGACGGGAGACAUUACACAGGUGCGAGCGCUAGCUCGUCGCCGAGUCACCGAUGAAACACCGUCCUUUUCGAUUCGUCCCACUCACCUCUUAGGAGGAACCCCGGUAGGCGGGCAGUUUGGGUGGGGCGCCACUCCCUCGAAAA
rnacentral:rRNA from 1 species